GCUUUCUUCAGCAGCUCAUACUAAAAUCAGAACCAUAUAGAGAAGAUUGUCAUGGCCCCUGAGCAAGGAUGACAUGAGAAUUCAUUAAGUGUUCCUUUUUUUU